rnacentral:lncRNA from 1 species
UCUUAGGCUUCUGUUCUCCAAUCUCAGAACUUGUGCUGUGCUCCAUCACCAGGGGAACUGAUAGCUUUUAGCAGGCAAACCCUGAGGUGGAAAAGGCUGCUCAGCCUCCCUCUGCCUCUCUCCCCCAAACUCCCUCUUUUUUUCUCUCUCUCUCUUUAGUUUCAUCUUUCUCUUUCACAGCAUUUUGUUUUCCUUUGGUAUCCCUGUGACACUCCCCUUUUCCUUCCCCCCCUCGCAAAGGCAGGUUGGAAUUGAAGUAAAUUUAUUUCUCCUCUCUCCUCAUGCUGCUGCUGCUGCUGUGGACAUAAACCUUCCUCCUUCCAGAGCAGUCAGCGCUGUCACUGAAACGUAUUACCUCUGUUUCCAGAGCUCCUCACACAGGUGGUGUUGUAUUUCCAAGGCUGAAUAACAGGGAUGAUUUCAAGUUGACGUCUCUCUUUUUUUGUUUGUUUUUGCGUGACAACAUAUCACCUUUGUUUACUGUUUCUAUUGUUUCCCUCUGUGAGCAGAUCUGAGCCCGAUGGAGGACAUAAGACAGACCUGGCGGGUGAUGAAACACAAGGACACACAGGGUGGAGAGGCGGGGAGUUGGAACAGUGUGAGGUCUGGCAGAGCAGGUGAGAGAGGGGUUUUUGUGGAUGUUGCUGGUAAAUUCAGCAAAAGGAUUUAAAAAUAGGAGAGGGCAGUGAGUCAGAUCCCUGGACAAAGAGCAGUAAGGAAUUAACUUUUUUUUGUUGUUUUUUUACCUUCUUCCUACCUGCCCCGCGUUCUCACCUUCCAUCCCACAUAAUCACGUCACAGGAAGCACCUCAGGGAGAGGGUCUUUUUCUAACACUGUCUCCCUCUGCUUCCUUUGUUCUCUGAAAAUGAGCACCUCAGAUCUGAUGCCUCCUCCUCUGUUAGUGAACGAAUGUACCGAGCAACAGCGAUUUCCUCGAGCAGGCGUCGCCUCCCGCUGCUCCAGAUUACAGCUCAUUAGUGGUCGCUGCAGAGAGACAGCCCACACCAAUGCCUCCCCUCUGAUUCCCACUUUGUUUCUUGUGAUUCUGGUGUGGCACGCCAUGGUGACAAAAAAAAUGGAGGCUGGUGGUGGUUAUGAGGAAUAAAGGGGCUGGAAGGGAGACCAAGACAAAAACAUGGAGAGUUUUCACAGCUUGUCAGCAGCUGGUGAACAUUUAAAGAGGACAGCUUCAUCAGAUUGACACAGCAGCCUCUUUCCACUGACAUAACACUCUGAGUGGGUAUCUGAAGUGCGAGCUUUUCUGCUGAUAAGCACCUGAGAAGAUGAUCAAGAGGGACUAUCUGUAGAGUUAUAUCCCAUAUAGGCGGACAUUAGCUAUUAACCACCUUCUACAAACAUUAGUGAUGAUCUGCCUGUACAUUUAUUUAAAGUACAAAUAAGGUUGAUCUUUGCUUGUCUUAAAAAAAGUCAAAUAUGUUGAUCUUUGCAUUAAUAUGGACGACACACAAGCUCCACCUAUGAUAAAGUGAAGCCAAAAGAUGAUGAUAUACUCCGCUGUUGAGCCAAGAUAGUACAGUCUACCGUAGACCUGAUUUGUGUGGUCUACGGUAGACUGACACAGAUGCAGUAGCUUAUUGUAUUGCAAAAGACCUGCUACCAAUAAGCACUGUUAGAUUUCAUUUUUUAUUUCGUGAUAUAUAUCGAUAUAGACUGAUAUGAAAAAAAUAUAUUGUGAUGAACCUUUUUCCGUAUCGCCCAGCCCUACUUACAACAUAGCCCCUGUGAUGAUCUGCACAACCCAAAAGACAGCAAACAGACUGUGGAGAGUUGCUAGUGCAAAGACAUGAAAGGCAAAGCCAGGGUGAGAAGUUUGUUUGGGCUGAAGCUCACCAAGCUAGGCUAGGCCUUACAGCCUAUUCACCCUUACCUCUCCUCUUUAAUGAGGGAUGAUAGAAAAAACAGAGAGAAAAAACUGAGAAGACCGUGUAGGGGGGUGUUAUAAAGAGAACAGAGAGGGAAAAGCCAGGGCAAGAAGACUUUUUGGGCUUAGUAACAGCACUGUUAGCUAAGGGCUAAACAGCAGUUUGGUCAUCUUCACCCUGGAACACUGAUGGUACUCUUCUCCAAUUCUCCAACAAAGUCGUUUUUGGAAGCUGCUCAUUACAAUCAAAUAAUAACAAAUAGUCUGAUUGGCAGCCUGAUCUAAAACUUUGUUCACAACGGUAUGACGUCAUGGCAGCAUCUAUGGUUCCCACCCUGAAUGUUGAGAGAGGGUUCAAGGAGGUCAUGUCCAGGGUCACAGCUACAGUUCUUCAAACAUGCCAAGGCUUGUUGGCUGCGUUGACAGUCGAGCUCUUGUACAUCUUUUGUCUUUUGUUUGCGAAAAUAAAACCAAUUGAGAGUGCUUCUCUCUAACUGUCAGCCGUGCCAGGCGCUGCGUGGUAAUUGCCUUUGAACAGCUUUGUGUUUCUGUGCAUUCCCAUUCAUUAUCUGUUUUUCUCUUCCUUCCUGUUUCACAAGACUGGUUGGAAGUGAAGCAUAUCACCCCCACCCCCCACCCACCCCUAAAGUUCCAGUCUUGUUCGCUAUCCUUGGACAAGUUUUGGCAAAGUUACAAAAGGGAACAGAUGCCAGAUGUGCGCAUUGUGUCACUAAACGAAACCCAUUUUUCUGGCUUUUGUUUUUUUUGUUUCCCGAAAAUAGUUCCUCCACAGGCUUGCAAAAUCCUCUUUAAAUCAGAGCACAAUGAUAAUUGUCAUUAUUAUAAAUCGUCUGUGAGGCAGAGGUUCUUUUCAAGAUAAUAGUAGGGAAAAUUAAGCAGCUGCUCCUUUCCUAGCUGGUAAUUGAUCCAUUCAAGCAGCAACCUAGGGUCUAGAGACGUAAAAUCAAUGUGGAGGUGAUAAAAACUGUAGUUCCUGGGUUGUCCACUUGAGGCUGACUGAAGUAGAGUUAUCAGCAAACUGCACCUAAAAGUUAAAAAAAGAAAACCCUGGGUGUAUUUUGCUCUACAACUGAGGAAAACAUUGCAUCACUGUUUUCUACACCUGAGAAGCAAAACAAGAUCAUGGAGAGUACGAAUCAACCAGUCAGAUCAGGUCACUUUCAGUUUACAUCUUUUGCUUCUUCUCGAGAGGGCAGCCCUCCAUCCGUGUACGCUUGGAUGAUUUACAUCCACCAUCCACUGGGGCCCCCUCAGACUGAAUAAGCCUCGACCAUUACAGUCUUGUGGGCAGAGGGAGCUAUGAUAGAAAAAACAAAAACAAAAACUCCAGUCAGUAUUCCCUGUCGCCCGCCUACAAACACAGCUCUGAGCCAUGCUGCACUGUACACUGCUGCCUCUGCCUCCUCUAACCUUACAUGACCUUUGACCCCUACAGUCAUUCUGACAGGCUGUGCUUCUGACAGCCUAUCCCCCGAACUCACUGUGUCUGCGGGAACAGCAGACCAUGAAGCAUGCGAAACGCCAGGGCGAAGAUGUUGAGUUUCUCAGUGUCAACAGACAUCAAACAUCGAACAGAGCCAUUAUUUCAUUACACCGACUUGAAAACUCAUUGCGGGCUGCUUCUGGAAAGCAAACCCAGCUUUCUUUUGUAUCUCCAAGCUUUAAUCGUAUAUCUGUGUUUACACAAACUCAAAAGAUAUACUCUGCGAAGUGUUGCGCUAGCUGGAUGGCACACUUUUGAUUCUUUUGAAUCAGAAAUAAAUCUUCGAUGUGUGACUUCAGUUUCUCUGGCGGGUCCACUCAGAGGCAGGAGUAUGAAAUAUGCUGCUUGUGUCUCAGCUCUGUGGGUCACUUUUGGCUGUAAGGGGAUUGAUUUUUUUCUCCCUCCUGUUUUUUUUUUUUUCAGCUCUCCACUCAGACUUCGCUGAGCACUCCUUCAAAAUAAAACAAACUCAGCCCGGUUGACCCCAAAACAGCAAGACUGACCUGAAAGUAGCUUCAGGGUCAACCCAUUUUCAACAUGCAGCAUAAUGCUACGGUUAUACAGCAAAACAAAUCCACUUAAUUUGGCUCUUUUAUUGUUGAAAAAACUUGUUGGUGCAAGGUCAGGUAAUAAAAUCUGAACUCCAAACCUUUCAAAGUGGAGGACAGUAGCUUUUGGCGUGCAGUCGGAGCCCUUUACUCUGUCAGUUUUUCAUUUUUCAGCUGGUAAUACAGUUUGAAAAUGUACCACAGCUUGUCCUCACUUCAAACCCAACCCCCUCCCCUCCCAUGAUGCACCUUUCCCCACUCUGUGUGUCAGCAAGCCUGGGACACCCACUCAGUCACUAUCUCAACUUCUCCCAUCUAAACAAUUCUGUCAUCAUUUGUCAAACUCCUCUAUCUGUCUCUUCCCUCUCCAUCUGCAUGAGGAGCAGAGUGAUGCUGGGGUGUGAUAGGCGCCCGUCAGGGUCCACGCGUCUCGGUGCACAAACACACGCACACACACACAUUCUCUAUGAGGAGGAUAGAGAUGGAUGCCCUGCACAUUUGAGCAUCCAGACAGAGUGAGUGCAUGUGACAGACAGUCAAUCAGCCCGUGAUGAGAGGUAAUCGCACAGUGGACAGAUCAAUUAGUUAUUUUCUCCAGAGACGAAGAGAAGAAAAACACUGCUGUUCUCCAGGUAAAUGAUUUGCAUUUCACUGCCUUUCAUCUCUCUCAUCCUUCUUGCAUCUUUAUCUUUUCUGUUUUUUUUCUCCCAGCCACCCCCAUUGCUUCCUUCUGUGCACCUCCCUCUCUCCCUCUCCUCUUUGAAUUUGGCUGUUUUGGUUGUUUAUCUCUGCUCAUUUCUCCUCCUGCCUGUCUCAUAGGGAGGGAGGUGGAGAUCCAGACGAUCAGGGCUGACUGAUGGUAUAUGAGCACAGCCUGUGAGUGAUGAGAGCUCUGCCCGGCCGGAUCAUUUAUACUGGGCCAGGCUGAGAACAAACAUAUGUAUCUCAUAGCCAUCGGAGACACUCCAAGGCUGGUUUGGCCACACAAAUACACACAUACACACUCACACACGCAUUCACAGAGGUAAAAACAAACACACAUUAGGACGUGAUGUAUCAAGCUAUGACCUCCUGAAGGGCAAAACUCUCUCUGUAUCUGUUUCACCAGCAGACAUGGACAGGAAAACCCAGUAACAUAUGACCCAUAAAAAGGCAUCUGCUUCAGAGCUCCACUGCUUGUUUAUCUCUUGUUUUCCUGCUGCCCGCUCAGCCAGAGUCAGCCCACAUCAGCAGCUUGAAUUGCUGGAUUUAGAGUUGUUAUGCAUGUAGGUCAUUUUUUCUCUUUGUGUUGCUGUGUUUACUAGCUGUAACAGUGGACAUUCCCUGAGGUUGCAGAAAUGUGGUACAGUCUCGGCUCUCACUGGAGAUCGCUCUGUCCUUCACACCCACUUAAGGCCGGAUCCAGUCAGUGCUUGUCAAAGCAAUUUUACACAGCAAUCUUUAUUUACAGGAAAACCAUCCUGUGCACACACACAGACACAGACGUACACACUCAGAGGAGUCGAUGUUUUUCAAGGGCUUAGAAUUUGUACAGUCAGAUUGGAUUUGGCUGCGCGAUAUGAAGCUUUGACUUUUUGUUACUUUUAACUUUAGUUUAACAAACAUUUACUUUUCGCUUCUGUCCGCUGAGCAUUUAAUGUCCUGAAAAUUUCUUUAAGUUACAAAUCGGUUCAACGGUCACUUUUGUCUUUAUCAUCCUUCCCAAUGAAGGAGUCCAGGGAGCACCAUCACCAUAAGCUGCACUGCAAGCCUGAAUGCUACCGAUGACCCCACCUUUUUAGUUCAGCUGUUCACCGUAACUUUUGAAUGAUGGUGGCCUCUAUCAGAUUCUCAUGUGAACUGGUUUCUGUCCUGAACUUAAAAAACAAAAAACUAAGAUGUUCCAGCAUUAGAUAAAGAAGUACACAAGAAACUCACUGAAUAAAGUGUGUGAGAGGAUUGGUGUCAGCCAAGCAGCUGUUGAAAAAUCCCUACUUUUACAGUUUCUGUAAAACAUAUUUACAAAACAUGACAAAUUUGAUUGUCAAAGUCACAAUGAUGAGAUUUCUGAGAGAAGACGCUAUUUAAGCACGAAGAGGACAAGAUAAGCAAAGACUGCUUUGUCAACGUGGGCGCCAAAACUGACACAAACUGAUAGUUCCUCACAGGAUGAAAAGUAAGGAGACAGAGAGUCCAACAUUUACAGAUGGGGCGCUGGUUUAGUUGAGCACCAUAGAGGAUAUCUUUAUCAUGUUGGUCACAGAUUGAAAUUCCAGUGCUAGCACUAUUGGUUGCAUGUCAUUCUCCCUUCUCUCCUCACUCAAAUCACAGCAAAAACAAAACAAACAAACUUACUCUUUAAAAAUGAGCAGGCUGAUGUUUUAUUGAGUCCUAGUGAGUCUUUCUCACACCCAGAUGUUUUGAACAAGUCAAGAGUGACACCAAAUUCACACCUGGGCUGUUCAGACUGAAGCUGCAUCAUAUAAGAGCUGAUCUAUGUCUGAUUUAGGACCACAUGUGAGGCUGUGACCUGUGCUGUUAUCAAAGUGUAAUACAAAUCAAACCACAGUCCCAGAUGAGCAACAUGAAUAAUGGUUUGGAUGAAGUAACAACAAAGGGGGAUAAUUGAACCCUGAUCUGUGGACAAGCUUCUGUCUUGGAGUGAUGGAAAGGUAAAGCGUAGCAGCACAUAUGUUUGAAAAAUCAGUCUCUCAUAUAGUCCAGACACAUAAAGACGGAUGAUAUCAUGACAUUUAUAGUUCUCCUCUUCCUGUUGGAGCUGUGUUUAUUAGAGGUCUACAUGUAGGCCAAGUUUCAAGUGCCUCUCUGAUCAUUUUCCGUUUCCUUUCUUGGGUGUCCUCUCAGCCAUAAUGUCAAGAUUCUUAAUGUGAUCUGUCUCUUACUACGAUCAUGUUGUUACACAACGGCAAAAAAAAAUACUGCAUAUCAUACCAGAAGCAAGCACAAAACAUGGCCAUGUGUUUCUCGCUUAAAAAACUAUGUGGCCUCUCAUUUUACACUUAACCACCACACAUCACUCCUCCUGUGUCAGCUGAUAUUUCCCAGAAACCCCCAGUCCUCCAGCGCUGGCCCAGCAUGCUCUAUUCCUUCGUUCUUUCAGUCCAUCUUCUUCUCCUGUGUGCCGACAGGACCACCUGGUGCUGCUGCUGGUUGCCAGAUUUUGGAUUAUCCUGCAUAACAAUGGGCCAAAGGAUUGUUUGGACCCCUUCCAUUCCCGGGAUGCCAGAGAGCGCUGCGCUCCUUGCCCUUCAGAGACGGCGGCCCUCCUCUCCAUCGUACACACAUGGAUGCACGACCGCUCUGGGACAGCACUCCCCCUCACACACAUUCAAACUCUUAAUUAACGUGUCCUUGUGUUUAUGGCCAUCCAGUGGCCCAUAAGGGAGUGAGUGAAGUCUAUAGCUGUGUACAUGCACAAAGACCAACACACAGUGGUCAUCUGCACUUUUAACACACACAUGGUGAGGAAAACAGAUGAAUUUUUGUAGUAAAACCCAAACAAAGGACAUUUCUGAAGAACAAAAGCCUAACUUGAUGUGGGCUGAAUAAGUAAACACAGACAUGUGUGUAUCUGUGUUUGUGUUUUCAUAAACAGUCUUUCUAGGAAGCUGCAAUAUUAAAACUCAGAAAUGUCAAAACCAACAAAACAAACCUCUUCUCAACUUUACUUCUGAGAGACUCGGCCUCUCUGAGACGUCCUUUUUGUUCCCCAUCAUGUCACUAACCUGUUGCAGAAAAGCUCUGAUUUGUUGGAAAAUGUUCCUUCAAGUGUUUUGUUUUGUUUUUUUUAGCAUCACACGACUUUGUCAGGGUUCCUUGUCCUAACUUAUUUGAUGAGUCACUGACAUCAAAUUCAAAAUGACCAGCUGCAUUCAAGAAAAACACUAGUUUUAACAUGUCAUAUGUUGUUUUCAUGCUAUUUUCAAUACAUAAAAGGGUUUUUAAUGAUUUUCAAACUAUUAAAUUCCAUUUUUAUCAACGUUUUACAAUGUGUUUAAACUUUUUGGACACCGCAGUUGUACUUAAAAGGUGUAAUACAAAACUUUGAUAAAUUAGGUCUACAGAGACAACACUCACAACACAAAUUCAUAUAGAGUAAAUUUUUCUGUAUACCAGUAUGCCGUGCUUUUUAAACACAGAAAGAUAAUCAGUGGACUUUAUCAUUUUCAGCUGCUAUUCCAACAAUUCCCAGGAGUAAUAUGAUUGGACAUUAAAGUUGGUUUAUUCUGCAUUAAUAUAAAAUAAAUACACAGCCACAGCUCUUCAGACUACAUAGACAUCAUUUUCCGCUCUAAGUGAAAUUUUCACAUUUAUAAUACUUUCAUACUUUUUAUUGAAAAUCUCUAAAAUGAUUAAAAAUACAAAUAAAAGUCAUAUUAGUCACCUAGAGCUGCUGAGAGAGAGAGACACGGAGAGGGAGAGAGAGAUCUUUCACAUCUUUGUAAUUCAUUUUUUUAUAUGUUUCAUAUUCAUUUGAUAUUGUUAUCAUUUCAUCUGUAAAUAUAUGAAUACUUUGGCCAAUAAAGCUCAUUGAACUGAAUUCACCUGAGCAAGACAAAGGGUAAGAGAGACAGAAAAAGCAGUUACUGAUACUCCAUGUCGUAACCUAAUGGUGCUUUGUAUCUAUUAACCAAUCACAGCACAGGAAUGACAUGUAAACAAUGUCAAACCAGUGUAAAACAUGUACAUUUUCAGCUCAGUUUAACACAUUUGGAUUCGAAUCAUCACACUAAUAUCACCUAGAAAUGAUGUCAGGGUACAAACAGCACACUCAGCUAGCUAAUGGCUUCUUUUGAGCCUUUGUCCCUGUAGCUCAAAGUUAAUGUUCAAUCUAAUACACAGAAAGCAAAGCCUUAAGACAUCACAACUUCCAUUCUCUCUUUUUUUAAGAUAUAAGCCAUUUUAGGCGGUAACAAUCACAGAAAGAGCCCUCAUAAUCCUGAAGGGACCAAUAAAGGUAAGCUUUUAUGUAGAGUGAAAAAACGGAGUCAGUGAUGCUCUUUUCCUUGUGGGGACUAUUAACUAUAAUAGGCUGUAGCCUAUGUGUCUGCAGAACGUCUCAUUGCAUAUGCUGUGACAUCCCUGCAGCCUGGGGCAACACUAGCAUAUGUGGCCUUCAGGCGCCCAGACAGGCUCUUACUGUACUCUAAAACAACAUAACUGAGGCGGCGCAGGCGCUCAGAUCACACCGUAACCGUCAGAGUCGUGACCUAACUGGAACAGACAGAAACCUGUGAAAUAGAGCCGGGUUCUAACAGUCUGAACCCCGAACCAAAUCUGUCACUCAAACAGCUAAUGGAGGACACUGAGAGGAAAGAGGACAGAUAUGUGGAGGGAGAAGUAAGGUGAGAGAUGGCGAGUACGGACAGAAACACUACUACAAAGAGGAAAUGUGAAUUGAAGAGAGGAUAGUAAAAAGAACAGGGCUGUGAUUCAGGCGUGAGCUGUGACAAUUUAAAGAGUUUUGACUUGAGCUGUUUGUGACGAUACUCUGUCACUGAGUUACACUCUGUUGCGUGGUCUUCUGCGUGAAGAAACAGGCAGCUCCUCACGCUGGAAGAGUGAAAAGGCACUUUGGUUUCCACCCCCACAAACAGAGCUAUCCUGUUUGAGAAUUACACAUAGAAAAACGAGCUUCUCAAAGAGCCAUUUGAAAUCACUUAUACGAAUAAAACUUUCAUGAAAAAAACAGUUGCUACAGUUUGAGAGGAUUGGAUUGGAGCGGCUGCUCUUGGUAUUGAUAUUCAGCCCUUCCCCUUUGCAAUUGUACUAUCAAGAGGGAGCAGCUUGUGGCCAGAUGUCAUGGGAAGACACUGUUUCUCAUUUGUUAUUCACCCACAGAAUAGAAACUGCAGGAAUUAGAGGUUAAUUAUGAUGGGGAAAGUUGGAAAAAAGAAGGUGAGAUAGAAAAAGACAGGAAUGGAGGAGCAGGGCGGGGAAAGUUAAUUUCCAUCGCUGUUGUUUCGGUGUUGUGCUGCAGCUGGUGAUGAAUGACAGACAGAGAGCUCUCAGCUGGAGGAGGACGGCUAAUGGAAUUGUACCACAUCAGCUCCCAGAUUCACGAGGAGAACACACCACGUUACUAUUAUUCUUUCUAAAUGCCAUGCAUGGUUAGGGACUUACUGCUUCAUACAGAGUGUGCUGGGAAAAAAAACGCUCCCCACAAAAGAUUUGGAUCCCACAUUGUCUGUGUUCACUCGUCUUGUUUUGAUCCGUUGUGAAAUUAGAUGCAAAGAAGAUGCCAUAUUGAGCCUGCAUCAUUACUCUGCUUCAUUUACAGCCAAAAAAUUAUACAAUUUAAAAUGUCAUUUGGUCAGGGGAUGGAGUUUUCAUUAGGAGGGUGCCGUCCUAUUCAACUGGCAGCAAAAUCAGGCCCUUUAAUGACCAUCCUGCUUUUUAAUCAACUCCAGGAACAUGUGAAUAUGAAAAAAGGCCUCAGGAAGCUUUUAAGCAGAGCUUCAUGUGUUAUAUGUAAGACUGGAGGACCUGCAUGGAAGCUGGGCUGUCAGGCACUGCUGUUGGGGUCAACUCUGCCACAUAAUAGAGCUAACUCGAAGAAAUCCUGACUCAGACACUCAUGUCAGCUUAAAUAUACACCCUAUUAUUACUGUAGUUUUCACAGCCUUAUUUUUGCCAUCAGAAAGCUCGGUCAUUUUUGCAUGAUUUACCAGCAUGAGAUAUAUGUAACCGUAUGAUUCAUACAAACCCACUUUAAAAUAAAGGAACACAUAAAAUGUAAGUUUGUUGUAGUUUGUUCCAGGACUGAAUGAAAACAGUAAGAAUUAUUAUUAAGUACAAAUUUGAAUUGAUCAGUAAUCCAAAGAGAUACUAAAUUAAAGCGGUUAUCAGGUUUUGCAUAAGUGUUUUAUCAGAGGGCUAUUACAGCUAGUUUGCUUGCAGCCUGCUUCUUUCUCCUUGCAAGACCUGUGAGCGCCAACAUAAAGGACAACUCACAGUGGUACCAGCACAGACUGUAUAUACUAUGGACAACUUGGUUCCACCUUCCACCAGUAUACGGAUUUGAAGCCGAAAAGCUCUCGGUAUUUUUGUGUUUUUUCUCCACUUCCUGAAACCAACACUGUGCGGUAGCGUCGUACGCACUCCACCACUUGCGCAGUAGCAUUGUGCGCAUUUGGUGGGAGAGUCACCAAAUGUCGCUGUGAUGACACUCGGGUCAAACAGUGUACCCCCCGGGUGAGCUACGCAAUCUUCGUACACCCAUAGGCUGUAUCAGGUGUCAAUCAUAGAAAACAUGAACCGCCUAAUAACUUUUAAAAAUGGAGCUGUACAGAAAAAAAGGGACAUAAUUAAUCUUAGCGCAGUAUCAAUGUUUUGAUAAUUCUCAAUACUAGUAUAUAGCAACUGCCCUAUCAUGGUUUGACCCAAAGGUUUCUGUAUUUGUGCUUAUAUUUCAAGCCUCUAGGAUUUCUUUAUCUAGUCCCAGUCAGUCUAGAUCUUAAGAAGCCUUUCAGACAAGAGGCGAUACAGCUACAAAAACUUCAAAUCUCAGUUGCCUUUUGGAUGAAACUUUAAAUCUCCAUGUUUUGUUGCUGAGAAUCCCUAAAGACAAAUUUAAUUGUCAAAUAAACAAUCUUCUUCUCUUCUUUUCUCUUCUCUGGCAGGCGCAUUGUAAAUCUGUUUGAGUCCUGGAGGUCUAACAGUGGGAAUGUAAAUGUCUCAUUCAUAUACUGAAUAAAAACAUUAACAGCACAACAGCUCCUGCUUAUCGAAGCAAAAUUUUUACAGCUGCCCCUGGUGACUGGGAGCUGUAUAGGUCUCAAAGUCAACCCUCUUCGUUAUUAUAAAUGAAACAUGAGUAAAAGUACAAAACACAGGCAAACUCACAAGGUACUGAACCUCCAAUAACUGAGUAAACAGUGUACCAGCCUGACAGAUCGUUGAUGUUUUAUUACUGACUUAAAUCUGUGCUAAGGUUAAAGGUGUGAAGUCAACCCUGCAGUGAGCUCCACCAGCUAGAUCACUCCAGAGUACAUCACAAGCACAGGAUGUCUAAGGCAAAAUUUUGUCUUCACUUUUUUACAAUGGUAGAAGAUGGAGGCCUUCUGCCCAUAACAUGGUCCCACCCCUUGGAUCUUGAAUUUUUAACCCUCUAUAAAAAGUAAUAUACUGGACCUGGUGUGAGUCAUCUACCUCAGAAGACUUUCACUCUUUUCUGUGAUAACGACUGAUAUUGCGGGCAGGUGGAGGCAGGUCCUGAGCAGUGUGCUGUGUGUUGAUUCAGUUUGGGGUGUAAUUCGACACUGAUGAUGUUCAGCAGAGCGUGAGACCAGUUGAGAUGAGAACGCCUUCAUAUAUCGCUCUCUCAUGCCCGCCCGCCUGCGCUCGUAUCCCACCCAAGUGUACCCUUCAACUGACCACACUGCUUCUCUUCUACAUGCUUUAUAGUCCUAUUGAUUCACUGCUGUAUUUACUGUAUUCACUGCUGGAAUUAUGAACUGCUAAAUCAAAGCAAACAGGUGGACCGGAUGAAGUCAUCAGAUACAGUGGCAUUGAUUAUUCCCAUUAGAUUUCUGCCUUCCUCCCUCGCUCUCUCCCUUCCUCCAGCGUCCUACUGUUUCUCUGGUUGACUGGGUUGUGGCCACUGGCCGAGUAAUGAUGGACAGAUCAUUACUCUGAGCUGAGUAUGCCAAGUGAGCUGUUUUCUUUUUUUUAUUUUUACAGGCAAGGACGGAGAACACAGAGGAGACAAAAAGUAAGAGGGAGGAAAGAAAGACAAAGACAUCAAUUUUUUUCCUGUAAAUGCUAAACUGGAGCCAGUCUCUGGUGUUUCACAGUCUGUCUUGGCAUUUUCCACCCCCCACUCUUCACUGUAUUCUUCAUUCUCCAGACUGCAGCUCUAACCUCUUUAGAGGAUAUUAUAGUCCCUUGCCAUCAGGAAAGCCCAUUACUCCAUCCACAGAGCCUUAUCCGUGGAGGUAUAGCUUUACUUUUCCAUUUUAUGUGCGAGUGUGUGUGUGUGUGUGUGUGAUAAUGUAACAGAGCCUUUACAGUUAUGCUGGGUAAUGCCCAUCACAGAAUCAAUUCUUGUUUGCAGGAAUUCAAGACACUAAGAUAUGAUUAUUGUCAAGAUGAUAAGUUGCUCUGUCAUGGUAGACAUUUUAGUUUUCUAAAAACAUUUUGAUCAUCUCCUGUGAACAGAAGUUGAUGUUCAGUAACUGUGAACUACCAUGGACCAUCUCAUUAACGAUAUUUUUGAAUGAACUGCAGAAAUUGCCAUAGCUUUUUUUUCCUAAUCUCUGUGCAGAGACAUCCAUGUCAUUCAUCAUUUCCAUGUCCAAAUGCUUCUUUUUCUUGCCAAUCACUUGCUCAUCUUUUCCAAUAAUGUGGGUUUGCUUGUGAAUAAGAGCCAACGUAUUAUCACAAUAUAUGGUUAGUGUGUAGAAAUUCAGAGCAAAUUGGGAGCUGACAGAACUGGUUCAUGCUAACUCAUGUAAAACAAAUAACAGCUAAAAUUACUAUCAAACAGGAGCGUCUGUGAUGAAGGCUUCAAAAUUGUCAAACUCACACUUGAGUUUGAUACUUGAGUUUGAUUUUGAGUAAUCUGUGGAUCUUAAUGGAUGUGUUCAGUUUUUCUUUUUUUUUUUUUUUUGUUCGUUUUUUUAAUGAAUCAUAGAUUAAGAGGUUUUAAUGGAGGGUUAAUGUUUAAGUUAACUGGCACGUGUUUGACUGAAUGAACGAAUUGACUUCUCAACUUUAAUGUCUUUGUUGAUUGAAUAAGAGUUAACAGGGUUUCUCAUUCAUUUCAGCAUGCCCUGUGUCCAUCUCUGACUGCAGAGGUUCCAGGUGGAAUGGAAUGGGAAUAAAUGAAUGGAAUAAAAAAGUUAAGUUGAACCAAAGAGAAUGGAAUGGAACAGAAUCAAAUGGAAUGGAGUUGAGUAGCAUGGAACAGAAAGGAAAAAAAGUGGAUUAAAUGAAACAUAAAACAAAAUUAUAGAAUAAACCAAAUAAAUUAAGAAUUUACCAUUAGAUGGCAUUACAUUUCUUUAUGGAGUACACUCAUGCCUUCAACAGACUGCAAUUCUGAUCAGUUAUUUUUGGAUUAAGCACCCUAUUUGCUCAGUGAUUUUAAGAAAUUAUAUUGAAAAGCGUCAUUAUUAAUGAAUUUUAAUGGCAUUCCAAAACUUCUCAGAUGCAAGUCUGGGUUAUAACGCAAUAGAAAAAAAUGUGAGCUCAUAAACUUUGGCUUGAAAAAGGCUUAAUUUGCACUACAAGGUCAUCAGGGAGGAAAACUGUGUUUUUGGUUUGCACAUCUCUGUAUGCAGACAACCUCUCAUUUUUCCUAGCUAAUUGUGUGGUUUACACACAAACAGCAACUGUUCAUUAUGCCCACUAGUUGGUUGAAUACUUAGCUUUAUACCCAAAUUAAGACAUACAGAUCACAGCUCAUUUACUCUCAUAUUGAUCUCUUCUCCCUCUCUCACUUUUUAUUCCUUCUUUCUUACUUUCUCCCCCUCCUUCUCUUUCUCUACAUGAAGCCAGAUUGCCCUUCACUUUAGGUAAUGAGGCCACUCUAUCAUAGACCUCCACCAGCCUACAGCCCACCUCCGAGCUCCUCCCUAAAAGGACAGUAGAAAACAUUGGUGGUCGAGCUACACUGCACAUCCUUCGAUCUUACUAUACAUGCUAUAUUAAACGUGUUGUUUAGAUAGUAGCUCACUGUGGCUUGUUACUACUGCCAUGAAGCAUAUCCCCAUGAGCCAUCAGUGCUGCAGAUGCUCCAUCACUUAAUAUUCAGUUGUCAUGUUGUAAUGCUCUCCCCUGAAUGACCUUGAGAUGCUCCAGUCUUAUAGCAGAGAAGACCGCCGGGAAACCUCUCUGUAUCUCAGCAGACUACCCCACAAAGGAAGCAAGCCAUAUGGUGAUGGCUCCAUACACCAACACUCAUCCACUGAGCAGCUUUAUGAGCAUAAAUGACUGUAAAACAAUUUCCUUUUCAGGGCAGAAGAAAUAUUUCAUCUGCCAUUUACAGCAUGGCCAAAGCUGCUCUUUUUCCAACUAUCUCUUUGUCCCUCUGAGUGUCUGAUUUUUCUCUCCAGAAGUGUGAUGAGUGGGGUCGUGGCAUCGGCGGCGGAAGCAUCUGCCAGUGAGGGAAGGGCCAAGAAGAGAAAGCGCCUCCUGUUUGUCUCCACUGUCUCCAAGCCCCCAACCAUAUUCUUCCUGCUAAUUAACCUGCUGACGCCUCCUUACUGUGUGCAUUUUGGGGGGAAGGUGGUUGGGUGAGAUGUGCCGAAGGUGAAGAGGAGGGGAUGGCUGACUGCUGACAACAUAACCACUCCACUAAAGAAGAGGAGUUAACAAUUCUGACCACAUAUUUCACAUACAUGCUCACGAAUACCUGCUUUUCAAAGCUACCACCUUAAGUGAUAUCUGAUUUUUUGGUUUCCAGUGCAGCCAGCAUUUAACAAUCAACGAUUUCCAACCAAGAUGUCAUUAUCUGUGAGUCGUCAUUGUUUACAGUUUAACAAGAAACUGGAAAAGAGAAAACAUGGUUGGAG